ensembl:rRNA 5_8S_rRNA 5.8S ribosomal RNA
AACUCUUAGCAGUGGAUCACACAGCUUAUGCAUUGAUGAAGAACGCAGCCAGCUAUGAGAAUUAACGUGAGUUGCAGGACACGCUGAUCAUCACUUCAAAUGCACUUGUGGCUCCCGUUUUCCUCCCAGGGCUAUACCUGUCUGAGGCAUC